rnacentral:misc_RNA from 1 species
UUCAGACGGCCUGGGCAGAU